GCCCGACGGUCCAAGUAGCAGGACUGAGACCAACCGUUUGUAAACGGGCCGGGCUCAAGCCCGACACGAUUAACAAACGAUCCAAGCUGGGCCGGUCUAUAAACGGUCGAAACCGAUCGAUUUAUGAAUUUCCCUUUAAUAAGGAAGAGCUCCUCCCUGUGGAUCUUAAAUCUGUUUGGGAAUCAAUGGAGCAGUGUAAGUAGCUUGGGCUCACCAGAUUUAUUGGAGUCAGCAACUUCACUUGCAAGAAGCUUGAAGAUUUACUUGCUUUGGCCAAGAUCCCUCCAGCAGUCAAUCAAGUGGAGAUGAACCCACUUUAGCAGCACAAGAAGCUGAGCGAGUUCCGUAAGGAAAAGGGAAUACAUAUUACAGCUUACUCACCCUUGGAAGCCAAAGGAACAUAUUGGGGCACUAACAGAGUCAUGGAGUGUGAGGUUCUAAAAUAGAUUGCAGAGGCAAGAGCAAAGACCGUUGCUCGGGGGAUAAUCCAUAUCUUACCGUCCGUCACUGAUUUUUAUAUAUAAUUUGAACUUUCAACAUACUCCGAGGCUUCAAGACCUUUGUGUGAAUGAAGUUAUACAUAAAUUUUCUUUCUACCAAAAAAAGAAAAGAAAAUUUCAACGUCUUGGAUUGGAUUUUUCACUGAUUUUAAUAAUUGACCUUUCAACGUCAUGGAUUGAAUUUUUCAUUGAUUCCAUAGUAUUUGAACACAGCGUUAGGGUCAAAGGUGGACUCAAAUCCCCGGUGAGUGGUGAGUGGUGAGUGGUAGUGACGAUCCAAUGAUUAGAGGGCCUUGGCAUGUACCUCUCAAUCAUUGAAUCCUCACUGCCGCUCAUUACCUUCGCACAAAGGAUUUUAGAAAAUAAUUCUUGUCCUUGGUGAUGUGAUCACUUUAUAUAUGGUGUUUAGCAUUGUGUUUUGCGGUUGGCUUCUGAUUAUUGAUAAAUAAGUGAUUGCUGUGGAAUGUUCACUACUUACAUCAUAUAUUUUCCCUAUCCUUGCUAUAUAUGUUGGGAGAAAUUACAAGACAUUGAAAAAUUGUAAAACAUGAAAUAAGAAAUAAAUUAGGGACAAACUCUUCCAGGCUCUCUCAUGAUCCUAAGAUGCUUCUCUCUCUCUCUCUCUCUCUCUCUCUCUCUCUCUGUGUUAAUAUGGAUUUUCUUAAAAUGUGUUGUCAUUUUAUCUCGCCAAUGCCAUUGAUUAUAAUUAGAAACUUAAGAAUAAAGUAGAGAGAAUCCCAUUAUGUAGUUUCAAAUAUUUUCAUUAAAAAAUAUAUAAAUUAAACUAGCUUACUAAUGCAUGGUGUAGGUUUGCUUGAGAUGGGUGUAUGAGCAGGGGGUGAGUGUACUUGUGAAAAGCUUUAAAAAGGAAAGGUUGAAGGAGAAUUUUGAGAUCGUUGAUUGGAUGCUAAACAAAGAAGACUUGCAGAAGAUUGAUGGCAUUUCACAACAGAAAGGGUUUCUUGCGGUAGAAUUUAUCUUAGAAGGCCCUUUUAAGUCCCUUGAUGAGUUUUGGGAUGGGGAGAUAUAAUAAUAGAUAUGAUCAUUGCCUUGUAAUAUAUGCUUCUUUAAUGUUGUUUAUUGCAAGCAUAUUUUGAGUCUUGCAAUUUUCUGUUUGUUCCUCGGGAGGAUAACAACUUAGCUUACUCACUCGCAAUGAGGAUCCUACCAUUGUCAUGUCCAAUAAUUUGGCCAAUUUCCAAUUUGUGGAUUUACACUCAGUGUUGUCCAUCAUCCAUGGGUUGUUUAUGUUAGUUUGAAUAAAAUGGCAUACGUGUAGGAUAUGUUGGUUGAUGUGGCUCAAAUUGUUUCAUCAAUGUAGCUCUUUUAUAUUGCAAUAAAGGUUUAAUAAUGGCACAUACAAAGUGUGAAUUGUAAUUCCAACAUAAGUGAAAUUAAAUAGGCAUUGUCCCCCUAUUAAGUGA